rnacentral:misc_RNA from 1 species
AGAGGAUCCGACAUAUAAAAGCCAUUGUGAUGCUAUUAUUAUUACAUGUAUAUUGCACUAUAGGUGGAAGUGUCACAAUACAGGGAGACGCAAUUCCGAUGAGCGUAUAUAUUAUAGAAAUAAAAUUGUUGGUGAACAGUAAGAUUACUAUAAAAAGUGUUGAAAGAAUAUUUACCAUGGAAGUGAUCUAUAAUAUCUGUUCGUAUUAAUUAAUGGAUAUUUGAAUGAAACAAAAAUGUAAUUAGAUUAAUAUGAAGUUCGAGAUAUGUAAUCGAUAUUAUCCAAACAAUGAAUUUGUUUAUUUAUUCAAGA